GUAGGUGGCAAGCGUUGUCCGGAAUUAUUGGGCGUAAAGCGCGCGCAGGCGGUUCUUUAAGUCUGAUGUGAAAGCCCACGGGCUCAACCGUGGAGGGUCAUUGGAAACUGGAGAACUUGAGUACAGAAGAGGAAAGCGGAAUUCCACGUGUAGCGGUGAAAUGCGUAGAGAUGUGGAGGAACACCAGAGGCGAAGGCGGCUUUCUGGUCUGUAACUGACGCUGAGGCGCGAAAGCGUGGGGAGCAAACAGGAUUAGAUACCCUGGUAGUACGCCGUAAACGAUGAGUGCUAAGUGUUAGGGGGUUUCCGCCCCUUAGUGCUGCAGCUAACGCAUUAAGCACUCCGCCUGGGGAGUACGGCCGCAAAGGCUG
rnacentral:rRNA from 1 species